GGUAACGGCCCACCAAGGCGACGACGGGUAGCUGGUCUGAGAGGAUGGCCAGCCACAUUGGGACUGAGAAACGGCCCAGACUCCUACGGGAGGCAGCAGUGGGGAAUCUUGCGCAAUGGACGAAAGUCUGACGCAGCGACGCCGCGUGUGGGAGGACGCCUUUCGGGGUGUAAACCACUGUUGCCCGGGACGAACAGCUUCUUUCGAGGAGCCUGACGGUACCGGGUGAGGAAGCACCGGCUAACUCCGUGCCAGCAGCCGCGGUAAUACGGAGGGUGCGAGCGUUGUCCGGAAUCAUUGGGCGUAAAGGGCGCGUAGGUGGCGGGAUAAGCGUGCGGUGAAAGCUCGGGGCUCAACCCCGAGUCGGCCGUGCGAACUAUUUUGCUUGAGCACUGUAGAGGCAGGCGGAAUUCCGGGUGUAGCGGUGGAAUGCGUAGAGAUCCGGAAGAACACCGGUGGCGAAGGCGGGUCUCUGGGCCGAUACUGACGCUGAGGAGCGAAAGCGUGGGGAGCGAACAGGAUUAGAUACCCUGGUAGUCCACGCCGUAA
rnacentral:rRNA from 1 species